UCCUACGGGAGGCAGCAGUGAGGAAUAUUGCGCAAUGGGCGAAAGCCUGACGCAGCGACGCCGCGUGAAGGAUGAAGGUCUUCGGAUUGUAAACUUCUGUUAAGUGGGAAGAAAGACUCUUUCUUAAUAGGAAAGAGGGAUGACUGUACCAUUAGAGAAAGCACCGGCUAACUUCGUGCCAGCAGCCGCGGUAAUACGAGGGGUGCAAGCGUUAUUCGGAAUCAUUGGGCGUAAAGGGUGUGUAGGCGGCAAUCUAAGUCAACUGUAAAAGACUCCGGCCUAACUGGAGACCUGCGGUAGAUACUGGAUUGCUAGAGGAUGGAAGAGAGAAGUGGAAUUCUCGGAGUAGCGGUAAAAUGCGUGGAUCUCGAGAGGAACACCAAUGGCGAAGGCAGCUUCUUGGUCCAUUUCUGACGCUGAGACACGAAAGCGUGGGGAGCAAACAGGAUUAGAUACCCUGGUAGUCCACGCUGUAAACGAUGAUCACUAGACGUUAGUUCUGUUUUUACAGAGUUAGUGUCGUAGCUAACGCGAUAAGUGAUCCGCCUGGGGACUACGGUCGCAAGAUUAAAACUCAAAUGAAUUGACGGA
rnacentral:rRNA from 1 species